UUAUGGAGAGUUUGAUCCUGGCUCAGGAUAAACGCUGGCGGCGUGCCUUACCAAUGCGAGUCGAACGAGGUCAGACUUCGGUCUGGUUGAGUGGCGUCCGGGUGCGUGACACGUCGGUGACCUACCCAUUUGUGGGGAAUACCCUGCCGAAAGGUGGGCUAAUACCGCAUACGAUCCCUUCGUCGCAGAAGGGAUGAAAGCUCGCAAGGGCGCUGAUGGAGGGGCCGGCGGCCUAUCAGCUAGUUGGUGGNNGUAAAGGCCUACCAAGGCAACGACGGGGAGCCGAUCUGAGAGGAUGAACGGCCACAGUGGGACUGAGAUAUGGUCCACAGCCCUACGGGGUUUAGCAUGGAGGAAUCUUGCGCAACAUCCGACAGGAUGGCGCAGCAACGCCGCGUGGGGGAUGAAGCCGUUUGCGGUGUAAACCCCUGUUGCUCGGGAAGAAGUACCGUCGGGGAGAGCCUGACGGGAAGACGGUACCGGGCGAGGAAGCCCCGGCUAACUACGUGCCAGCAGCCGCGGUAAGACGUAGGGGGCGAGCGUUAUCCGGAUUUAUUGGGCGUAAAGCGCGCGCAGGCGGACCGCAGCAGUGGCGUGUGGAAUCUCCCGGCUCACCCGGGAGGGGUCAUGCCAGACGGGCGGUCUUGAGGCAAACAGUGGGUCGCGGAACGGGCAGAGUAGGGGUGAAAUCCGUAGAGACUGUCCGGAACACCAGAGGCGAAGGCGGCGACCUAGGUUUGAGAAGCAGUCGCGAGACUGUCCUGACGCUCAGGCGCGAAAGCGUGGGUAGCGAACGGAAUUAGAUACUCCGGUAGUCCACGCCCUAAACGAUGGCCACUCGGUGUCGGGGGUAUCGACCCCCUCGGUGCCUUAGCUAACGCGGUAAGUGGCCCGCCUGGGGACUACGGCCGCAAGGCUAAAA
rnacentral:rRNA from 1 species